rnacentral:lncRNA from 1 species
GAUAAUGUUUGUUUGUGUUUUAGGAUGCUCACGCAAGAAAGGAAGUCCUAGACUAAGGAACCGUGCUACCUUAAUUGACAUGCAAACGAGAGACUAUGCGAAGUCUAACAAUCCUAUGGGGAUACAAUCACACCACACAAACACAUACAGCAGGAAGUAAACACAUCAACAAGGGGGCUCAAACAUCAAGGGUGAGGCUUUAGUCAAGGGGUCAUAUCAACCUCGACAAACAAGCCGGGCUUUAGUCAAGGGGUCAU